AGAAAAAGACAUCCGAAGAUAGCCAGCUCAACAGUCCUGGAGUAGGAGCAGAGAUGGCCAUGUUAGGGAUGGAGAUUUGGAAGACAGAAGGGAGUGAGAGUUUUUACUCCCAUUUUUAGUGGAAGAGUGAUUAUUAUGGGGAGAAAAAGGAAAGAUCUUCAUAUUUUGUUUGAGGCUGAUUUCAUCAAUUCCCAACAAGUGCAUCCAUUCAACUAUUCUCUACAAAAGAAUUGCUGGAGCUCUGAGAUAAAUGGUUUCUCAGCUACCAAUGCCCACCUUCCAGGUUCCCAAAUGGAAUGCCUGGGCCUGGAUAGACACAAGGGCAUGGUGCAGAAUAGGAGGAGAAUAUACUGCUGGAUUUUUGGUGAAGAUUAAAUGAGAUAUUAUGCAAAUGAAUAACUGUACAUGGAGAGUCCUCAAUAAACGUCACUUCCCAUCCUC
rnacentral:lncRNA from 1 species